rnacentral:rRNA from 1 species
UACGUAGGGUGCAAGCGUUGUCCGGAAUUAUUGGGCGUAAAGAGCUCGUAGGCGGUCUGUCGCGUCGGCUGUGAAAACUCGGGGCUCAACUCCGAGCUUGCAGUCGAUACGGGCAGGCUAGAGUUCGGCAGGGGAGACUGGAAUUCCUGGUGUAGCGGUGAAAUGCGCAGAUAUCGGGAGGAACACCGGUGGCGAAGGCGGUUCCCUGGGCCUUACCUGACGCUGAGGAGCGAAAGCGUGGGGAGCGAACAGG